ensembl:lncRNA
GGAAACAAAAUGCUUUUUGUGUGUGUGUGUGUUUGCACAUGCACAUGUAUGUGUGUCUGUCUGUCUCUCUCUCUCUACACACACACACACACACACACACACACACAUAUCGUGUGUCAAUGGUGGUACUUCUAGGAAGAGAGUGGCUUUCAAUUUCUGUCUUUAAAAACCUUAAUUUUGUUCUGAGUAAUAAUAGUAGUUAUUUGGCUCGUAAGGUGAAUAUUUUCAGGAAGGCAGAUGCCCACACCCACCUGAAAGAUGGUUGUUCUGUGGUGAUGUUAAUUAACCUGAUUAUUACAAUCAUUCUACAGUGUACGCAUACAUCAAAUUAUCGCCCCAUGCACUUUGAAUAAGUAUUUUGAAUUAGACGUAUUUUAAUAGCAAUGGGAAAUAAAAAUUAAUAAAAUAAACUGUAGCCUGGAAGUCCUUGCUGAGUUUACAUGUUUCAAAUAGAUGAUGUUCAGUCUUUUAGUGAAUCCACAUUUCAUCUAGAAGCCUCUCUCCAGGGACUCUGUCUUCCUCACUCUACCUAAAUAACCUCUUCCUGGUGCCACAACUUCUAGCAUUUAGAGCUUAGGACUUUAUUACUAUAGAAAUUAUGUUUUCAAAGUUGUCUACAUCCUCAGCAUAUCCAAGCUUCCUGUUUAUUGGACUAUCUUCACUAUAAAUGUCAAGUGCUUUGCUUGUCCAUGGGCUAAUGUAGAGUUCAUGGAUUGUGGAUUACUCAACUUUGAUUAAAUACUUGUGCUUUAGCAUCCCCAAACAAAGAACUGUUUCAACAUUCCUAAAAUUUAAAAUGUCAAACUAAGAUUCAUAACAUCCUGUAACCCUUGAUUCCCUGAAACUCACAUUGCCGUGGACACACACAGUUCUGUUGAAUAGUCGAUCAGGUGACUCCUUUGUUUACAUAUUGUCAAAGGCUGCUUUCAGGAAAGUAUGUUAGAUUUACAACAGAGACUAAAAUUAUAGCUGUUUAUCAGUUCACAAUAGGAAAAAAUUAAGCAGCUCUGAACUUCCACAUUAAAUGUAUGGAAAAAAGUAUAAAAGGAAGGUUCUUCUUAAAUGCCUACUGUGGGCCAUGUUGUGCAGGAUGAGGCCAACUGCAACAGUGCCCUCAAGUUCUCAUUUGGACACACCAGCAAUGCAGGCACAGUGC